UGAUAAAGCACAGGUUUCGUGAGGCUGGUAUGUGGGCAUGAGAAAGGACUGAUGCUGUCACAAAUGGGCUAGGACUGAGUUGAUUUGGGCUUGGGAAAGAAAGAUGGAAGAAUCAAAAGGAAGGUGAGGACCUAGGUAAUGUUGACAGGUUGAUGAAAUCCUAGACUGAGAAAGAACUAGCGUCUACUCCAAGUACUCUCACUGGUUUUAAACUUCAAAGUGAGAGAUGGUGAGAGUUUUCAUAUAGAAUUAAACAUCGUCUAAGAUUGACAGGAGCUGAUCUGUAAAGAAAAAAUUAAGAAAAAUUAAGAAAGUGAAGAAAAAAUUAAGACAGAAAAUAAAAAAAUUGAAAGUGAUGAAAUGGAAUAAAAACAGUCUUUAUUGAAGUCUAAAGGAAGCAUCUGUUCGAGCUAUUUUCUUACCAGGAAAGCCAGCAUUCCAUUUGGCUACUGAGAAGUCACGUAAGAUUUACUUUUGUGAAUUUACCACAGUAUGGGCUUCACUUAUCAAAAUUACUGACCCAGAAAAUUGACUUUGUCAAUUUACUGAGAAUGGAGGCUCCUGCCCAGUUGGAGUAGCUAAGCUCACAAAAGGCUAGUCAAUGAACUAGAAUGCCAACUGAAUAAUUUACAAGCCAGAAAUAGAAUGAUUAAGAGAACUGGACUCUUAGAUAUCAGGUUAUUCUGUGUACAGAAAGAUAUAUGAAAUUUGGAUUACACUCAGAAGUUCUGUGUUCUCAAAAUCAGAGAAAUGGCAAUAAGUGGUAUGGAAAGAUCUGCAAAUAGAGUGUGAAGGUGCCCCGUCCCAGCCCUCCUCCUGACUCAUGGCAGAAGGGCUCAUCAAUCAUGGCACUCAUCCCCGCUGAGGUCACAGCCUUAUAGAACCUCCACUGCAAUUCAUUAGGACUUGGCAGUGAUUGAUGUCAGAGAAGGAGAGCAGUGUCUUAAGAGGAAUUCUUUCAGGAACUCUGUAUCCUCUAACUGCUCAGGGGGAACAGUAGCUGCCCUCCAGGAAGAAGUUUAGGGAAAGUUGCCGUCUUGGUCUGUUUCCUGCUGAAUUACCUUGAAGCUGGAGCCCUGCUUCAGCAGGGGCGCUGACAAGCGAUGGGAAUCAUGGUGACAUGAGACACGCAGCAGGAUCUUCAAGGAUGUUCAAGGCGACUCUUCGUGGUCUCCCCACCUCUUCUCACCCACUCGCAGGACUGUGUAUGUUUUGUUCUCCCUGGCAUACUGGGGAGCUUUCUGUCAAGGGAGCCGAGAGGUUUUUACACGGAUCUUCUUUUUAGUUUACCAAGAGAAGAACGGUGGUCUCAGAUGUUCAUUGUCCAGAGCGAAGUCCCCCUUCAGUGGCUUAGGUGGGAGUCACAGGGUGCCACUGGAGAUUUCUCUCCUUUCCUCUGCAGUUGUUAGAUAUUGGAGAAAUUUAAACAACUGUCAUUAUUUGUUUUUGAGUCAUAUUUCAAUUAAAUGUCUUCAUGUGCACUUAUCUGCUUCUAGUCAAUUAAACAGAUUGUAAAUUUUAUGAUAUUUCAUAAAUCCCUGCCGCUUAACUUUCAGUAAAACCUCAGUUUUAGUGUAGACGCAAGCAUCAAUUCUUUCUAAUUGGAAAAAACAUUGCUGUGACAUUAUGUUCUUAUGGCACUUUAUGUGUACUUCUGUCUCAGGGGUUAUGCAAGAUUGUUUGGUUCUAUUUAGAGGACUGCCUUCUUUAUUAGACUAUUAAUUCUUAGGGCCAGUGUCGAUGUCUUCUUUCUUUUUGUGUUUCUGGGUACAUAAACACAUGCAAUAAAUAUUUAUUAAAUGAAAUAA